UCAAACAAAAUAAUUAUAUUUUUUGGUAUAAAACCGAAUAAACCGAAAACCGACGGUAUAUAAACCGAACCAAACCGAAGUAAAUAUGGAUUUAGAAUGGUAGUCAUAUUUUACUAACCGAAAUACCGAAAACCGAAAAAAACCGAACCGAAACCGAACCGAUAUCCGGAUUGAACACCCCUACUUUUAAUGUAAGCUUUUGGGCCCUUCAAAGAAAAGCCUUUGGAGCAACUAGUUCGGGUUAGGCCCAGUAAAACCGUCGAGAAAUAUUUUUUAACUUUUCUCAAAUUUUAGUAACACAUAAAAACCUUUAGCAAACCGAUUUGUGUUUUCUAUAUAGGAAUAAAUGAGUACAAUAUAGUCAGAGUUCGGUAAGUCAUGCAACUACCAUGGCCCAACGGGGAUUAGAUUUUGAAGAAUGGACAACUGAGUUUGAUUGAUUUGUUGAUUUUUUGUUUUUUUAUCAAUCAUCCGUUGGAUAUGAUAUGUUAGCUUUACGUUAAUUAUCUACUGUUGAUCUCAGAAUAACGACGUAUUGACAUGGAGAUGGAAAAGAAAGAAAGAAAGACACAUUGCAAAAAAGACAUAAAUGACAUAAACCAUAUUUGAUUAUGGUAACAUGUUCAAACAAUUAUAGUGAAAUUGAGUUAAGUUGUGAAUUGGUGAUAAGUGAUAACAUACUAGUAGUGGUAAAAGCAAUAUAUACAUGUAACUAUGAAAAACUAGUUUUAGCCAGUUUAAUAUGUAACCAUUUUCUGAUAUUGGCACACAAUACAAGUUUUUAGAAAGAAAUUUACAAAGGCAUUUUUGUAUUACUGCGUUUACUGAAAUUUACAGAUAACAUCUGUAAGCAGUAUACAUUAAGUAUCACAUUUGAUUACAAGAUAUACCAUCUUAAACACACAAGAUCAAACUACAAAUUAUUCAUUAAAUACGACAAGAAUUUUUUUGUUGAGUGUUGUUCGACCCUUUAAGUAUAGCAUGAGUUACAUAUACUCCUCGGAACAUUUUCACUACCAAUUCUAAUCCUCAUUUUAUAGUGUUGGACCAUUUGUUAACA